AUAUAUGUAGAAACAACACAUACAAAAUAUUUUUCCAAUACAUAUUAUUUAGGGGUGCCACCAUACAUCUGUUUUUGUGGAAUAAAGUGAACAGUUCAAUGGUCGCCAUGGAGAUUUGAGGUCAGCAAAGACUGCAGCUCAAGAACUCUGAGGCGGCAGCCCGCCCACAAACACCUUCCGGGAAAAGCGCUCCAUGCGUUCCCCGUUCUGAUGGGGGUAGCAGCUGGUGGAGCCCAACACUCCUGGGACACCCUGGUUGCCAUGGCUAUCAUUCAGGAGAUUGUCCUCGAUUGGGAAAAGAGACGAGCGUCCUGCAGGUGAAGAGAAUACAAAACGGCGAAGACUAUUUUGAACUGUUUCCUCUCCGGACUGAUGCAUUCGAGUCGCCACAGAGGGCAGUGGCAUCAAGAUGAGAUAAUCCUUCCACAACAAUCUGCAGUAGUACCAUACAUAUCCAACAGGGGGGCACAAUCUCUACUUUAUGUCCCUUUGUGAGUUUGUACAGGGUCGGACAAAAUGAUCUGACACAUUUGUAGGUUAAAUAAAAGGCAAAUAAA